rnacentral:rRNA from 1 species
AAUAGAUACCCGGGUAGUCCACGCCGUAAACGAUGGAUACUAGCUGUUGGGCGCAAGUUCAGUGGCUAAGCGAAAGUGAUAAGUAUCCCACCUGGGGAGUACGAACGCAAGUUUGAAACUCAAAGGAAUUGACGGGGGCCCGCACAGGCGGUGGAGCAUGUGGUUUAAUUCGAUGAUACGCGAGGAACCUUACCAAGGCUUAAAUGUAGGUUGACCGGCUUGGAAACAGGCCUUUCGCAAGACAAUUUACAAGGUGCUGCAUGGUUGUCGUCAGCUCGUGCCGUGAGGUGUCAGGUUAAGUCCUAUAACGAGCGCAACCCCUGUUGUUAGUUGCCAGCGAGUCAAGUCGGGAACUCUAACAAGACUGCCAGUGCAAACUGUGAGGAAGGUGGGGAUGACGUCAAAUCAUCACGGCCCUUACGCCUUGGGCUACACACGUGCUACAAUGGCCGGUACAGAGAGCAGCCACCCCGGCGAGGGGGUAGCGAAUCUACAAAACCGGGUCACAGUUCGGAUCGGAGUCUGCAACUCGACU